GCCGCCUGCCGGUCCUGUCGGCAAGUAGCCCCCCCGCUGUCCUGCGUGGUACCCGCGGGCGCCCAGUCUCCGCCUACUGAUGACCUCUGUGCCAGAUCCCGGAGAAGAGAUAUUUGGGAGAGUAGGGGGCUCAAAAAAUGGCUCUGGGGAAGCCAGCCACCAUGUCAGAAGGACACUCAAGUAGCCCAUGGAGGGCCCACGUGGUAAGAAACAGGCCUGCAGCCCCAGAACAGUUGAAGCCUUCUGCCCAUGAAAAUAAGAGUGAGCUUAGCAGGAGAUUCUACAGUCUGGUUAAGCCUUCUGAUGACUACAGUUCUGGAUGGCACUUCGACUGCAACCUCACGAGAGACCCUGAGCCUCUGCUGUGGUCAUCAGAGAGCUCCAGAUUGCCAAACCAGUUACCGUUUUUUGGUCCUUACCCUACCUGAUCUCGUGGUUAUGGGGCAAUGUUAAAUAAAUACACAACUGUG